AUACGGAGGGUCCGAGCGUUAUCCGGAAUCAUUGGGUUUAAAGGGUCCGUAGGCGGGAAUCUAAGUCAGUGGUGAAAUCUUGCAGCUCAACUGUAAAAUUGCCAUUGAUACUGGAUUUCUUGAAUUAGUGUGAAGUAGUUAGAAUGUGUAGUGUAGCGGUGAAAUGCAUAGAUAUUACACAGAAUACCAAUUGCGAAGGCAGAUCACUAACACUAUAUUGACGCUAAGGGACGAAAGCGUGGGGAGCGAACAGGAUUAGAAACCCCAGUAGUCC
rnacentral:rRNA from 1 species